rnacentral:rRNA from 1 species
GAGUUUGAUCAUGGCUCAGGAUGAACGCUAGCGGCAGGCCUAAUACAUGCAAGUCGAACGGUAGUUCCGAUUUAUCGGAAUGAGAGUGGCGCACGGGUGCGUAACGCGUAUGCAACCUACCCCAUACAGGGGGAUAGCCCGGAGAAAUCUGGAUUAAUACCCCAUGGCAUCAUCGGACCGCAUGGUUUGAUGAUUAAAGAUUCAUCGGUAUGGGAUGGGCAUGCGUCUGAUUAGCUAGUUGGGGGUGUAACGGACCACCAAGGCGACGAUCAGUAGGGGUUCUGAGAGGAAGGUCCCCCACACUGGCACUGAGAUACGGGCCAGACUCCUACGGGAGGCAGCAGUAGGGAAUAUUGGGCAAUGGGCGAGAGCCUGACCCAGCCAUGCCGCGUGCAGGAAGACGGCGUUCUGCGUUGUAAACUGCUUUUAUCUGGGAAGAAAAGGCCCAUGCGUGGGACAUUGCCGGUACCAGAUGAAUAAGCACCGGCUAACUCCGUGCCAGCAGCCGCGGUAAUACGGAGG